UACAGAGGGUGCAAGCGUUGUUCGGAAUUACUGGGCGUAAAGGGCGCGUAGGCGGCCUGCUAAGUCGAACGUGAAAUCCCUGGGCUCAACCCAGGAACUGCGUCCGAUACUGGUUGGCUUGAAUCCGGGAGAGGGAUGUGGAAUUCCAGGUGUAGCGGUGAAAUGCGUAGAUAUCAGGAGGAACACCGAUGGCGAAGGCAGGUCUCUGGGCUGACACUGACGCUCAUGCACGAAAGCGUGGGGAGCAAACAGG
rnacentral:rRNA from 1 species